GAUGAACGCUGGCGGCGUGCCUAAUACAUGCAAGUCGAGCGAACAGACGAGGAGCUUGCUCCUCUGAUGUUAGCGGCGGACGGGUGAGUAACACGUGGAUAACCUACCUAUAAGACUGGGAUAACUUCGGGAAACCGGAGCUAAUACCGGAUAACAUGUUGAACCGCAUGGUUCAACAGUGAAAGACGGUCUUGCUGUCACUUAUAGAUGGAUCCGCGCCGCAUUAGCUAGUUGGCAAGGUAACGGCUUAGCAAGGCAACGAUGCGUAGCCGACCUGAGAGGGUGAUCGGCCACACUGGAACUGAGACACGGUCCAGACUCCUACGGGAGGCAGCAGUAGGGAAUCUUCCGCAAUGGGCGAAAGCCUGACGGAGCAACGCCGCGUGAGUGAAGAAGGUCUUCGGAUCGUAAAACCCUGUUAUUAGGGAAGAACAAAUGUGUAAGUAACUAUGCACGUCUUGACGGUACCUAAUCAGAAAGCCACGGCUAACUACGUG
rnacentral:rRNA from 1 species